rnacentral:lncRNA from 1 species
UCGUCUCCUACCUCGGUAUGCUGGAUUUGGUUUUCGUUUGAUUUUGGAUCCCAUGGUAUCGAUCUGCAAUUUCCCCCUCUUGCUGCGCAGAUCCACAGUGCUUGAGGUUCCGAUGGUGCCUUUCCAUUACACAGUGAGCGAUUUUAUUGCCGGAAUGGAGCAGCAUCAGCCAUUUGCCGAUUCGUGUGCGGGCCUGCGGGGCGGAGGUGGGAGAUCAUAGGGAGGGUUCACCACAUGCUUCCGAACAAUCGGUAGGCGAGAUGGACCCACUCCAGGAUGGAGCCGCAGGUAUGUUCGUACUCAUCGCUGGAGUUGAAAAUUAAUGUUGCAAAUCUGAAAAAACUAUGUUCGUAUGUGUGUGCUUGUCAUUAAUAGACUAGAGAACAGGUGGGAUAUCAGAUGAGUCAUGAGUGUGAGGUUUUACGGAUCUAGUGCUUCGUACAUUAUUGAAUGAUUCAUUCAGCACCUCGUUUUUGCAACACAGACAUUCUCUCUUUCAGCCUGAUUACACCAUAAAUUGUGAACUGUAAGAAAGAAUGUCUCUCACGCAAAAUUGAUGGUGGAAUCUGAAGAAUCUGAGCUUGUAUGUGUGUGGCUGCUUGAAAGUACAAGACUAUAGUAGAGGGAUUCACCAGAUGAUUGUGAACUGAAUGCUUUGUUUGGCACCUCACAUAUUGUUACACUAUGAAUUUUGAACUGUAGGAAAGAAUUUCUCUGUUGCAAAAUCCAUGUGUCCAAAUCUGAAGAUUCAGUAUUUAUAUGUGUGCGAUUGCUUGUAAUUUUGACACUAUGGUCACUAUGUGUGUGGUUGCUUGUAAUUUUGACACUACGGUACUGGGUGAUUGAUCAGACGUUUUACAGAUUGACUGCUUGUCUAGAGUUGAAUGAUUCGAUUAGUAGCUCCCAUUGGUUAAAAAAAUAUAGAAGAUUAGAGCCCUCAUUUUGAUAGUUCAUGGAAAAUUUGGUUACAGCAGAAAAUGUGACAUGUAAGAUAGAAUCUCGCUGUUAAGAACUUAAGAUUCAUGUUGCACUGCAAUCUGUUUUGGAUUACAGUUAGUAAGCCCUAUGGAAGUUGUAAACAUUAAUGAACUUUUAUAAAGCACCUAUCCAUAAGGGAAUGGGAGAGAUUAAUUCCAGCAGUGUCACUGAAGGUGUGUUUGUUGUGGGUACCAGAAUGAGACAUGGUUCCUGUAUUUGCAAAGAAAAUGUUUCAUGUGCAUGGGAUUCCAUUUCAGAUCUAAAAUCACGAAGGAAAAUAGGGUUGCAUUACUCGAAUGCCAAGGGAAACAAUAACAUAUAGAUUAGAUAAAUUAGUUGAUCAAAGACAGAAUGUUACAUUAGUUGUACUGUGUCGGUGCCGGAUGCAAGCUGAGUAUUCCCAAAGGUAUGAUCGAUGAAGAAGAACCGGCGAGUGAGUAGACAAGUGAGUGCGGAAUGCAAAUGGAGAAGGUGGAGACGAUUAGGGAAGGGUACUUGUUAGAAGGAAGGCAAGGCAGGAAUGACAGACAUAUAUGUUGCCGCAUGUAUUGCAUCUGCUGAAUAGGUAGGAGCUCCUUACUCGGUGCAUGGGUAUGUCGACCAUUCAAAACAUGCCUCAUGAGGUCUUGUCCUCCCUGGUCCGUGGACCAAGAAACAUGCUUUCCAUUCAUUGCAACCUAAACUGAGUAAUUUGCUGGUAUGGUGCCUGGUGGAGUUGUCUUCUUCCUCGGGUGCCUGGAUCUUUCCAUUGGCGAGAGUGGUGACCUUGGCAGCGGACCUCCUGUGCGAGGGAGCUGGAGUUCUUGAUACAGCCGAUUAAGAGGUGUGGACGUGCGCCAUUUUAGCAGUCGUGCAUUAGACUUGUGCUUAUGUUCGCCACUGUACCAUCUAACUCCCAAUCCCUGAAUUGUUUAAGCAGAACAGAACACUGGUGUUGAAGCCUGGAGAGGUUAAUGACAGCAAAAUUCCAAUGGAGUCGCUGCACUACCCGGUCGUCGAGCACCUGGCGCCUAUGAGGGGGUUUAGUGCAGACGGAUAGAUCUGUGCGGCGGAGGGGGCGGCAGAUGCUCAAAUUAAAGAUUUACCUCAAGUAUCUGUGCAAUUUAUUGGCCAGAUCGACCCUAAAGCUCCUGGAUGGACGUACAGGUAUGUCACUAUUCGGAAGUAGUACACUCUUUGGAAACUCGGCAUGCUACUCUUUGUACAAAUAGAUACAUGCUAGAAAUUCUCAGUGAACAAAAUCAUAUGUAGCUUUCUACAUUGCAAAUGUGUUUCAGCAUGAACAGAUUAUCAUAUUAGUAUAACAGGUGUAGAGCUACUUUGCAUUGAACAAAUUGUCGUCGUACUAAAAAGAUCAUGAAGAGAUUGCUGUUUGUGCCUUGACAGUGGGCUGCAUUGUAAACCCAGGAUGAUGUGUGCAUUGCCUGGUGUGUUACUAAUGAUCUGGUAAAAAAUUGAGCAGUUUUGACUCAAAAAGGAUGAGUACCGGCGAGAGAUGCUGACCUUGCUCAUUGUCCAUGCAUUGAAUUUUAGGUUUAAUUUCUGCAGCAUGGGAAGCUGAAGCAUACCACCAAAAUCAAUUUCUGUAACCAGCCACUUCUUGAAUUGGUCCAACUCAGCUGAAUAACUUUGACAACAUGCUUAAUGGAGAUCCAGGGGCAGUGACUCCUUCAUUGUUGAUCGGUACACCAUUAUCAGAAAAUGAUGGAUGUGGGUUGCGAUCGAUAACUGGGUCAGCAAAUCCAUCGCCAUCUCAACCCCGAGAGUCCAACAUGAUCACUGUGAAUCAUAACAAAAAGGAGAUCUCAGACUAAAUGUCUCUGAGCAUCGCUCCGACAGUGAUUAGGAAUCAGUAUAAGUAAAAUUAGUUUGUUGUCUAAAGCCACGUAUUGUGCCAUUUGCUGGGUCACCUGCGGCAGUUUCAAAAUCUCUAGUAUAAUUACUGAAUGGUGUACUUCAAAAUUAGUUCUGACAUAUGCAUAUGCAUUGCCAAAAUUAGUUCGUACAGAAGAUCUGCCAACUGGACGAAAUCAAUAUAAAUAAAAUCCUUAUUAUUGCAGCACCAGCGUAUAAGCUGUAUCUAGCGGACCAUACGAAAUGCAUAACAACAUUGCUGAUCAUGAAUGGCUGCAGAUUUAUAGAUGUACGAAAAAAUGGGGUGUGGGUGUGAGGAGAGAUGCUUAAGUGCACAAAUGACUGAAAUAGAAUCAAUGGUGGUGCAGAAAAGAAUGUCUGAUAUUCUAAAAAUAUAUAUAUGCCUGAUGCAGUUCGUGCUGGUAGUUGAUCUGCGCUGGGA